CCCGGUCCGGAUCCAACCCCAACCCCCGCCCACCACCACCAGCUCCACACUCCCCUUUGCUUCCCGCCGCCCGUCGAAGCCGUCUCCGGCGAGGACCCGACCGGCGACACCGCCUCUUCCCUGGCGGCGCCCUUUCCUUCCUCCCCGCGCUCUGGCCGUGGCUCCUCCUCUCUUCGUCCGGGGCCCCAGGUCACCUCCUCGCGUCUGGUUUGGGUUCACUCCUCCUCGGUUCGUCGUCCGUCCGCUUAGGCUUAGAGCGAGCGCCCGAUUUGAUUUUGCUCGUGCUCGGUUCUUUGGUUCACAGGUCGCGCGUGGUUUGGUUUUUCUCGUCCUCGCGGUCGCCUGUUUGGGGCCGCGCCUGGUUUGAUUUCGCUCGUCCCUCGCCCUCGUCUGUGCAGAGUCGCGUCCGAUUCGAUUUCGCUCGUCCUCGCCGUCGUCCGUGUAGAGUCGCAUCCGAUUCAAUUUUGCUCGUCCUCGCCGUUGUCCCGAUGCGUGCGCUCGCUCGCUCGCAUGUUCUUUGGUCGUCUCCUCUCGCCGGGGUUCUCCAUCUCGUUUGCGAACUAGCAAUUCUUUCUGCGUGCGCUUUCGUGUUCGCGUCAGUUGCAGGAACGAACGGGCCUGGUUUCGAAAUUGGAUUAGUUUAUCGUGCUAGUUGAGAUUGGUUCCGUCACCUGCGUUGCUCUUGGUGAUUUUCAGAACUCAAACGCAUGCUCUCUUGUGAUACUCUGUCAGUUCUUGUUGGCCCUCUGUCAGUUCUUGUUGGCCCUCUGUCAGUUCUUGAGUUCCAGGGUCCGUUAAUUCUUGAUUGCUUGCUGUAACCCGACUAGGCAUGUGUGCAGUCAUCCUAGGUGCAGAGACGCUUGUUCUGAUGGUAUAUACUGUUUAUGCUUGUUCUGACGGUGUAUACUGUUUAUGUUAUUUCCAAUUUGUUUCUUUUUACCAUGCUUUGCUUAUGUGUUCCGAGUUGAAAACUUUUACGAAUUACAAGAGUGCAAACCAUGUGGCCUGCUUGACUAAUUGAACACCUGUUGGACAAGGUUCCUUCUUUUCUUUCUGAUGUUGCUAUUUCCAUGUAACUGCUCAUCAUAGGAGUACUAGAUGAGGUGCUGCUAGUUAGUUCUCCUUAGACUUCCUUCUAGAUUGCAUAGCAUAACUCCAGAACUUUUUCAUUGCACACCUGGGCAUAUAUUUCUGUUGUGAGCAUAACUCCAAAAUUUAUUUAUCCAUGGGAUGGAAGCACGUUCACCACAUGUUCUUUUAUCAAUGCUACUAACUUCUGUCAUGUCCCUUUCCUUCGGACAACAAUUUCAACGAACCUCUAACGUGGACAUGUGUUGCUUGUUUUCUUGUUUUCUUAUAUCCAGUUGACUAGCACAACUUAUGUUGUGACAUUUGUUAAUCCCCAGUUAGUGUGCCUGAAAAAUUAUUGUUUGUCCUGUUAAAUCUUGUGGCAUCAACUCGGUAUUGUGAUUAAUGACCUAGUAUUUGUUUAGUGUAGACAGCUAACUUCUUUUUUCUUAAAUUUUUAGUGAUAUGCGUGUUUUGUUAUGUCUUAUGUUGAUAGUAUAUUCUUCUUUUUCGUAUUACUCAUGUCCAGGUACUGGAAUAAUGCUUUUCUUCAUUUGCCUAGACUUUGUGACAAUUAAUUUAUAGUGCGAUCAUUGAGCUUCUAACAUCCCAUUGCGUAAAAUUCUGUUGUAAUGUUUGUUGGAUCAUUGAGUAAUUAAUUGAUUCUGAGUUUGUUAGAUCAUUGAACUUCUGCGUGCGCUUCUGUUAUCUGAGAGACACUCACGAUCCUGUGUUUCGUGUUUGCGGCGGAGCGAUGAACGGUUACGUUUUGUGUUCCUGCGUUUCGUGUUUGCGGCGGAGCGAUGAAUGAUUACGAUUCGUGUUCCUACGUUUCGUGUUCGCCGUUCUGGUUUGAAGGAUUACAGAGGUAGGGAGAGGCCAAAGCAAGGUUAGUUUUAGAUUGUUUCCGUCGCUGCGUUGUUCGUCGGCGAUUUCCAGACCUCAAACGCAUGCGCCCGUGUGAUACUCUGGUUUGGCUCACUGGUCGUUACGGUUGUUCUUAUGUUCUUGAAAAACCCCAUCUUAUACGCAGAGAUGGGGUGAUUCGUUAUGGUUCUUCUGAUGGUUGCUUAUGUUCUUUCGAAUUGGGUUCUUUUUGUAAUGCUUUGCUUAUGUUCCCAAUGUCUGUUUUUCCAUAUACGGGGAUGUGUUCAGAGGUGCAAACCGUGUAGGCUGUGCUAUGGUGUGUUUUAUAGAUGUGGAACGUAGAAAUAUUGAUAUCAGUUCUGUGCUAGUAUACUAGAUAUGGUGUGUUUUAUCCAAGUUAUUAACCACAUCUCUUAAAUUUUUUCCUUGAGAUGGUACAUGUUUAUAUGACAGGAGUGAUUGAUGCCCUGACGAAUAUAAUCAUUUAUGUUAACUUGGUAUUGGUAUUUCCUGAUCAUAGGUAACACACCAGUACUAGUUUAAUGCAGACAACUGACUAUUCUUUUUAUGUGAACUUUUUUGUGAUAUUUGUGUUAUGUGGAUAUCAUAUCCUAAUGCUUUUCUAAGUAGUUAAGGUACAAACUUGUGGAUCUGGACAUGUCACAUUUGCUCUUUAUUGUGUUGCUAAGGACACUGAACGUUCUGGCUGGGCCAAAUCAGGAAGUGUUUCUAUGGAUCAAAUCUGUAAUGGAAGAGAAUGGGAGUAACAUUACAACUGACCAACUUAAAGAUUAUGUAUGGAAGACACUGAAGAGUGGAAAGGUUGUAGUGAUUAGAGAGAAGCUUUCAGGACUUUAUGGAUCUGAACAACAAUGGUUGAGAGCAACACAAAUGCUUAGUGGCAUUGAGUUGGACUCAGGAAUCAGGAUGCUUGAUGACACAAACAAAUUAUCCAAGUGUGUCCAGAUUGCAUGACUCUAUUUGGAGUGAAUGCUGAAGCUUUUAUCAACAAAGCCUCGUUUUUGGUCACAAACAACAACCAGGAAGUUCUGAACUUACAAUACAAGGUCCGCUAUGCGAAAAUUUUAGAUCUAAAGCGUAAAUUCUUGGAAGCUGCACUUCGAUACUCUGGUAUCUCUCAAAUUGAGCAGCGCCAAAUUGGGGAUGAGUGCAGACAUGUGGAUCUGGACAUGUCACAUUUGCUCUUUAUUGUGUUGCUAAGGACACUGAUGGGUUGGUUUUGCAUACAACGCAGUAUGGACCAACAAAAUGAUCUCAUUGCAAGGCGGACAUAUAGGCAACCAAUGUCAAGAGAGGUGGCAUAAUCAUCUGAAUCCAGACAUACAAAGAGAUGCUUGGACUAUUGAGAGGAGGAACAUGCACUGAUUAACGUCCAUCGGGUACAUGGGAAUAAAUUGGCAGAAAUAGCAAAAGUUCUUCUUAGAAGCUAAAGUCAAAGACGACAAACCAAGUGAAUUAAUGGAGUUGCAAGAUACAUAGAAUCAUCGGCUAGCCAUCGGCUUGGGAGCGAUAAGAGGCAACCACUGUUGUCAACUUGAAACGUAUAAUUUUUUAGGAGCGAAGAUCUGAAUCACCGCCUCGAGAGAAAUCAGUUUAGUCAUCCAUGUUCUGAAAUUUAUUUAUAGCUUUCAGAGUUUACUUCGGUCUUGCAUGUAUUUGCUUUCUGUUUGUGCCCCUAUCUAUGUAUGUUCCUUUUGUUGUGUGCAAGCGCUUCAUUUUGUGUGUGUGACUGUCUGACUGUGUGUGGUUUGACUUUGUGACUAUGUGUGUGACUCUAUACGAAUAUUGCAUUUGAUUAUGAUGUGUGACUGUGUGUGUUUGACUGUGUGUAUGUGUGACUGUGUGACUAUUGCGCAUUUGACUGUGAUGUGUGACUAUGUGUGUGUGUGACUCUGUGAAUAUUCAUUUGACUGUGACUUGGUGUUUGUGUGUGUGUGACUGUGUGUGGCUUGACUGUGUGUGUGGCUUGUAUACUUUGCUAAAUGAUUGGUUGUU